rnacentral:rRNA from 1 species
AUGGUGCAAUACCCGAGCUUGUAUAUGAUUGUUAGACAUAAAUUUGUCACCAUCAAACAAGUUUUGGGGCAAGAAAACCCUGAUAUUUCUUUCCGUAGGGACCUUUUAGGACCUCGCCUGGCAGCUUGGAAUGAGUUACUCAUACGUCUGGAGGCUAUUCAGCUGUCAGAUGAACCGGACAUUUUUCGAUGGAAUUUGCAUCAGAAUGGCAAGUUUACAGUCAAAUCCCUAUAUGAUGCAAUGGUUCAUUGUGAUUUUCCGGUUGAUAACAGGAAAUUGUGGAAGUUUAAAAUCCCUAGUGUAGAUAUUCCUCUGAUUCCUAAACAGAGGGGUCAUCUUAACUAG